CAACCCUCAAGCUCUGCUUGGUAUUGGGCUUGUCUUCGGGUUUGCCUCAAAAUCAGUGGCGGUACCGUCUGACCUUAAGCGCAGUAAUACUCGUCGCUUGUAGAAUCAGUCGGAGGCCUGCUAGAAACCCCCACCAUAUUAAA
rnacentral:misc_RNA from 1 species